CUUGCUGGGGGAUUAGUGGCGAACGGGUGAGUAACACGUGAGUAACCUGCCCUUGACUCUGGGAUAAGCCUGGGAAACUGGGUCUAAUACCGGAUACGACCAUCUGGCGCAUGUCAUGGUGGUGGAAAGCUUUUGUGGUUUUGGAUGGACUCGCGGCCUAUCAGCUUGUUGGUGGGGUAAUGGCCUACCAAGGCGACGACGGGUAGCCGGCCUGAGAGGGUGACCGGCCACACUGGGACUGAGACACGGCCCAGACUCCUACGGGAGGCAGCAGUGGGGAAUAUUGCACAAUGGGCGCAAGCCUGAUGCAGCGACGCCGCGUGAGGGAUGACGGCCUUCGGGUUGUAAACCUCUUUCAGUAGGGAAGAAGCGAAAGUGACGGUACCUGCAGAAGAAGCGCCGGCUAACUACGUGCCAGCAGCCGCGGUAAUACGUAGGGCGCAAGCGUUAUCCGGAAUUAUUGGGCGUAAAGAGCUCGUAGGCGGUUUGUCGCGUCUGCUGUGAAAGACCGGGGCUCAACUCCGGUUCUGCAGUGGGUACGGGCAGACUAGAGUGCAGUAGGGGAGACUGGAAUUCCUGGUGUAGCGGUGAAAUGCGCAGAUAUCAGGAGGAACACCGAUGGCGAAGGCAGGUCUCUGGGCUGUAACUGACGCUGAGGAGCGAAAGCAUGGGGAGCGAACAGGAUUAGAUACCCUGGUAGUCCAUGCCGUAAACGUUGGGCACUAGGUGUGGGGGACAUUCCACGUUUUCCGCGCCGUAGCUAACGCAUUAAGUGCCCCGCCUGGGGAGUACGGCCGCAAGGCUAAAACUCAAAGGAAUUGACGGGGGCCCGCACAAGCGGCGGAGCAUGCGGAUUAAUUCGAUGCAACGCGAAGAACCUUACCAAGGCUUGACAUGAACCGGUAAUACCUGGAAACAGGUGCCCCGCUUGCGGUCGGUUUACAGGUGGUGCAUGGUUGUCGUCAGCUCGUGUCGUGAGAUGUUGGGUUAAGUCCCGCAACGAGCGCAACCCUCGUUCUAUGUUGCCAGCGGUUCGGCCGGGGACUCAUAGGAGACUGCCGGGGUCAACUCGGAGGAAGGUGGGGACGACGUCAAAUCAUCAUGCCCCUUAUGUCUUGGGCUUCACGCAUGCUACAAUGGCCGGUACAAAGGGUUGCGAUACUGUGAGGUGGAGCUAAUCCCAAAAAGCCGGUCUCAGUUCGGAUUGGGGUCUGCAACUCGACCCCAUGAAGUCGGAGUCGCUAGUAAUCGCAGAUCAGCAACGCUGCGGUGAAUACGUUCCCGGGCCUUGUACACACCGCCCGUCAAGUCACGAAAGUUGGUAACACCCGAAGCC
rnacentral:rRNA from 1 species